ACUCCUACGGGAGGCAGCAGUGGGGAAUAUUGCACAAUGGGCGCAAGCCUGAUGCAGCCAUGCCGCGUGUAUGAAGAAGGCCUUCGGGUUGUAAAGCACUUUCAGUUGUGAGGAAGGUGGUGUCGUUAAUAGCGGCAUCAUUUGACGUUAGCAACAGAAGAAGCACCGGCUAACUCCGUGCCAGCAGCCGCGGUAAUACGGAGGGUGCGAGCGUUAAUCGGAAUUACUGGGCGUAAAGCGCAUGCAGGUGGUUUGUUAAGUCAGAUGUGAAAGCCCGGGGCUCAACCUCGGAACUGCAUUUGAAACUGGCAGACUAGAGUACUGUAGAGGGGGGUAGAAUUUCAGGUGUAGCGGUGAAAUGCGUAGAGAUCUGAAGGAAUACCGGUGGCGAAGGCGGCCCCCUGGACAGAUACUGACACUCAGAUGCGAAAGCGUGGGGAGCAAACAGGAUUAGAUACCCU
rnacentral:rRNA from 1 species